UUCCUGUUUUCCAAUACUUUGAAGUACGCAGUUGGUAUUAAUUUUUUUUCAACAACGCUAGCCCUUUCUUGUUUUGCAUGGCUAGCUACCAGUCUUAUUUUCCCCUCAGACUUGUUUUGUCAUAUUUCUAGAAUUGAAAAUUAUAUGACUUUGUAACAGUAUGAUAGGUGAUGCACACGUGGCAAGGGACGCCUACUCGAUCGAUACACUUGGUCUCACCCUGUUUGGAGCUCACGAUUCCGUGUAUAUCUUAUACCAUAUUUGUUGGUUAUAUGCCUUGAUUGUAGAAGCGUACGAUACAAGCCGGAAAGAGGUACUAAAGUUUCAUAGCUACAAAAUGACUUCGUAUAAUCCACAGUCAGGGCUUUGGUUCGGAACUUAUAAUCAAUAUAUAUGGAAAGGAACAUAAUUUUGCAAUCAAGUUAGUUUGGGAUAAUGGCAACAUUACCGGUAACGGAGUUGAUGAAAUAGGCACUUACACCAUACAAGGUAGCUGGGAUGUUCUUCAUGGAACAGUACAGUUCCUAAAGCAGUACAAUGGAAAACACAGCGUAAAUUAUAAUGGCCAACUGUCAACGGACAGCUGUAGUAUUUCUGGCCAGUACGAUGUUACAGGCGAUUCUGAUCGCUUCACGAUGUAUUUGAAGGGACAAUAGGCUUAGUUAGACCUUGACAUUUUUUCUAAUAGUGACACACUAUUUUAUGCAGCAGUCCGCGAGUUUUGAACACUUGUCAAAUUUUAAAUGAAUAAAACAUCACUAUUGUAACUUGAUAUGGAUAUAUGUUAUUUUGAUAUUAAGAUAAACAUGUCGGAGUGAUGAAGCAUCAACGGAGAACAAACCCUGAUAUGUUAAAGCAUUACAGUUAACUAAAUCUAUUUCGGAAUCCAAGCUACAAAACAUAAGAAACUGCUAGUUUUAGAAAAGUGUUCUUCUCAUUUAUCUACUAAUUUGUUUCAAUCUGCCCUAUCCAAAAGAUACAGUUUACCCUUUUUCAUGCUUAUACAAUCUAAACAAACUUUCACUACCACUCAGUCGCCAUUGGUUUAGAUGUAGUUUUACUUUAGUACAUAGGCCAAAAUAACAGCCUGAAAUGUAUGAAUUCUGUUAUAGUCAUAGUAUGUACAUAAACAACCGGAAAUGUAUAGUUUUGGUUUAAACAUAGAUAUACAAAAAUAUCAAGAAAUGUAUGAAUUUGAAAAUUGAUAGAACAUAUUAUUAAGCGUAAAAAUAAACGAUCGGUGUAAAUACAUAAAGUCCACAAACGUGCAUCAUCAUCAAUCACCAGUGCAUUAAAGAUUACACAAAAAUAUGAAACUCUGCUAAAAGAAUUUAGUCUUUCUACUCUGAUAAAUAGACGGAAAAUGUAUCGCCUCAUUCUUUUAUUUAACAUUAAAAAUACCUUUCCACUUAUUAAUCAUUUAUGACACGUCCAUUCAUAAUUUUCGAGGAAAAUUAUAUUUAAGUUCCUCAACCGGGAACAUCUAUAUUUUCAUAUAUUUUUCAGUAAACUAUUCAAUGACUUUAGAAAAUCUAGUUUAAAAAACAUCUCUGUCGUGAAAAACACACCUUGUACUAUCAUUUGGCUGAACGCAUAUAUUUAUACAUAAUAUGUUGUAAUUUAAGUACAUUUAAUUUAAAUUUUAUUCAGAGCUGCAUUUAUUGGAAGGUCUAUUUAAAGACAAAUACAAAAGCUGCCGCUUCA